rnacentral:lncRNA from 1 species
GAGAACCGUGUUGUGAAAUUGAAAUCAUUAGCUAACUAGAGAUUUCAAAAAUUCGAAGCACUCCACGAAACCUAGCCAUCGGGUCUUCUUAGGUUCUCUCUUUGGCAGAAAGUCAGUUAUAUCUGUGCAAAUCAUGAUUUCCUCCAUGUGUGUGGAAUCAUUGUCGUAGAAGUAGUAUCUUGAAUUGUAUGAAGCACAAAGAGUUGAUGAUAAUGAAG